UGGCGGACGGGUGAGUAAUGUCUGGGAAACUGCCUGAUGGAGGGGGAUAACUACUGGAAACGGUAGCUAAUACCGCAUAACGUCGCAAGACCAAANAGGGGGACCUUCGGGCCUCUUGCCAUCGGAUGUGCCCAGAUGGGAUUAGCUUGUUGGUGGGGUAAUGGCUCACCAAGGCGACGAUGCGUAGCCGACCUGAGAGGGUGAUCGGCCACAUUGGGACUGAGACACGGCCCAGACUCCUACGGGAGGCAGCAUG
rnacentral:rRNA from 1 species